AUAAAAGUAUAAUUAAAACAGCAAUUCAAAAUUCAGGAGCUCUAAACUUAAAUAGAAGGAAAUUUAUCUAAAAGUUAAAAAAUGAUUUUUUUUUGUUGUAAAACCUCUGUAUAAAUGUAACAGGCCCACAGAAGAGCUAAUCGGGUUGUUCUAAACAUUUGACUCAUUUUUUGAGAUUCAUUUGAGGAUUACUUAUUUAAAAUUCUGGCCAUUUCUCUUGAUUGCUAAUUCCUUACUGUCUAUCAGAGUUUUAGUAUUAUGCAUAUUCAGUUAAAGCUUUUAUUUACAAGCAUAACCAGACACAUCCAGGUAAAGAUGGUGAAAUGAAACUAGACCAUAAAAUCUUGUUUUUGGUGAAACAAAUAAAAAAUAGUUUAAAACAAAAAACCUAGGGCCCCCCCGCCAAAAUCACAAGUAGCAACCACACAAUUUCAUGCCAUAACUUCAAAAAGUAAAGGUUGAAAAAGAAAGAAAUCCUGGUGUAAUCCCAUCUUUCAGAUGUCAUUGAGAGAAAGAAAUUGAAUUUACCAAGUCCUGAGCUUUUUUACCAGGCAUCUCCCAGUUUGAAUAUAAUCAGACUGAAAGAAUGAAUAAGUGUACUUAAAAAAAAAAAAAACCAUUGCCAUUGAGUCGAUUUCGACUCACAGCGACCAUAUAGGACAGAGUAGAACUGCCCCAUAGGGUUUCCAGUGAGCCCUGGUGGAUUUGAACUGCUGACCUUUUGGUUAGCAGCCAUAGCUCUUAACCACUAUGUCACCAGGGUUUUUUUAAGUACCCUUACAUAACAUCAAAGAAUACACCUAUAUCCCAGAAUUUCAGCAGAAGCAGGAAAAAUUGUUAGGCCUCACCAUUUUCAAGGGUUUAAGCUAUGCUGGGGCCACAGAUCCAUGGGAUUUUGAUCCAUGCUUGUAUUGUACAAGCAUACCCUUGUACAAUACACUUGACAGAAUCUUUACAGCAUCAAGAAACCCGAGUAACCCAACAAAGCUGCACAGCUCCGGGAAGGAGAGUUCCCCUCUCUCCAAGCAAAAUAGUCUAGAUCAGAGGGGAAAAAUAAGUGUCCCAAAAGGUAGGGUACCAAGGAGAAUUCACCUAUACUGUGCGAGAGCUCCCUGUGUUAAUUAAGCAUGAGAAAAUGAAAAGAAAUAAAUGGCAACUAUACCAGUAUAUUACUGCAAAAAAAAGAAAGGUGCACACAAAAGAAAGAUAAACCCCAUCUGAAUGACAGUAAUCCAAAGAAAAGAGUAAGGACUGAGCCUAUGUAAAUAUUUGGGCUAAAGAAAUAGUACUUAUUGAGAAUUAAGAAUUCAGCAGCGCAAGUGUUCAAAGGUGAAAUGACAAAACAACAGAAUGAUAUUAAUGGGAAAUUAUAAAAACUAAAGAAACAAAUUGAGAGGAGUACACCUAGAGAGGCAACCAGGGUGUUAACCAUAGUUACUUCUGGGAAGUAGAAUAUGGGGUGAGUUUUUGUUGUUAUCCUUCCAGUUUUCUGGGUUUUGGUUUAUGAGUUUUGAGUAUGUCUUUUGUUGUUUGUUUUUUGUUAUAAUGAAUAGGGACUAUUUUAAUAAAAUAAUAGUGGCCAUCUUCAAAAUGGAGUCUGAUGGCGUAAUGGUUAAAGAGCUCGGCUGCUAAUCAAAAGGUUGGCAGUUCAUGGAAAAACAGUUUAAACAGAGAAGAAAAUAUUCUUCAGUGGUUACGAGAGGGGGAAGGGAGGAAGAGGAGUUUUCACUAAUUAGAUAGUAGAUAAGUUUUAUUUUAGGUGAAGGGAAAGACAACACAAUACAGGAGAGGUCAGCACAACUGGACUAAACCAAAAGCAAAGAGGUUUCCUGAAUAAACUGAAUGCUUCAAAGGCCAGUGUAGCAGGGGCAGGGGUUUAGGGACCAUGGUUUCAGGGGACAUCUAAGUCAGUUGGCAUAAUAAAAUCUAUUAAGAAAACAUUCUGCGUCCCACUUUGGAGAGUGGCAUCUGGGGUCUAAAACUCUAGCAGGUGGCCAUCUAAGAUGCAUCAAUUGGUCUCAACCCACCUGGAGCAAGAAAGAAUGAAGAACACCAAAGACACAAGGUAAUUAUAAGCCCAAGAGACAGAAAGGACCACAUAAACCAGAGACUUUUAUCAGCCUGAGACCAGAAGAACUAGAUGGUGCCCGGCCACAACCUGACAGGGAACACAACAGAGAACCCCUGAGGGAGCAGGAGAGCAGUGGGAUGCAGACCCCAAAUUCUCUUAAAAAGACGAGACUUAAUGGUCAGACUGAGACUAGAAGGACCCCGGUGGUCAUGGCUCCCAGACCUUCUUUUAGGCCAAGACAGGAAUCAUUUCCAAAGCCAACUCUUCAGACAGGUUUUGAACUGGAAUAUGGGAUGGAAAAUAAUACUGGUGAAGAACGAGCUUCUUGGAUCAAGUAGACACAUGAGAUUAUAUUGGCAUCUCCUGUCUGGAGGGGAGAUGAGAGAGCAGAGGGGGCCAGAAGCUGCCUGAAAGGACACGACGAAAGACGGGAGGGAAGGACUGUGCUGUCUCAUUAGGGAAAGAGCAACUAGGAGUGUAUUGCAAGGUGUAUGUAAAUUUUUGUAUGAGAGACUGACCUGAUUUGUAAAUUUUCACUUAAAGCACAAUAAAAAAUUAAAAAAAAAAAAAAGUCACUAACCAAAAAAAAAAAAAAAAAUGGCAGUUCAAAUCCACCAGCCACUCCCUGGAAACACUAUGGGGCAGUUCCACUUGUCCUAUAGGGUCGCUAUGAGCCGGAACCAACUUGAUAGCACCUAACAAGAACAACAUUCUCAAGAUAUGUCUGAGUGUGUACACUCACAGUACUUUUUCUGAUAACUUGUAAGUUUCUAAUUCUUUGGUAGCAUUUCCUGUGGUAUUUUAUAUUUGUUUAAUUUCAUGGUUUGUGAAUGGAAUAAUUCUAUUCACUGUGUUGUUACUGUAUAUGUUAGGAAUUUUAAGGAAUUACCAGCAUAUGAUUAUGAGUAAGCUGUCAACCACAGCCUUGGUUUUUCAGCAUCUGAAAAAACCCGUUGUCAUCAAGUUGAUUUCAACUCUUAACAACCACAAAGGACAGGGUAGAACUGCCCCGUGGGGUUUCCAGGGAGCGACUGGUAGAUUCAAACUGCAUGAAUUUGAAUUCAGUUUAUUAAGCUUUAUCAAUAUGCAUCAUAUAACACUUUUUGGAGGAGAUGGGAAGGGGACAGAUAAAUAAAUGAGAGGGAAUUAAAGUUCUAAAAUUCAUAGGUUUUGGAUCAACCCAGUGAGAAAUAUUUUUGAAUUGGGACUCCUACCUAUUCCUGAUUCUGACAAAGCUUAUAAGCUAUUGUGGUUAUAGCUCUCUCAAAAGUCUGAAAUAACAUGCAAGGAGGUGUUGGAAGGAGUCUUCUAAAUUACCUAAUUCAGGGGUUGGCAGUCUUUUUGUUAAAGCUGUGCAGUCUCCAUGGCAGUUACCCAGCUCUGCAGUCGUAACACGAAAGCAGCCAUGGAUGAUAUGGAAAUGAAUGACUAUGCCUGUGUUCCAGUAAAGGUUGCAUUUCAAACUAAGUGGACCAUGGGCUAUAGUCUGCUAACCCCUGAUCUAACAAAGUUAUCUAUCCAGUGUUUGAAACUUUUCAUACCUACCAUUUUUCAGUCUCUGCUUAUAUAGCCCUGGUAAUGGAAAGUGGCAUUUUUAUCUCAACUCACGUGUCAAGUUCCUCCUUACAGUGCAAGUCUGUCUCCUUUUGCUCACCCCCUCAGUUGGUUCUAUCUUAUUUUAGCCAUACGAAACACUAAUCCUACUUCUUCAGGACAGCUCUUUAGGGAGUCAAAGCUGGCUCCCAUGUGUCUUUUCUGAGUUAAAUGUCAAUGAUCCUUCCAGUUUUUAAACAUAGCAUAUUUCUUUUACUUUUCUUACAAUAUUCCACUCUGAAGAUGCUUCAGUUUGUGUGGGCUUGGUUCCCACAUUACAGUAUUGUCUCUUCAUAUGUGUGGCUGUUGAACCUUGUCUCCCUGUCCUUAUACUGCUAGUUGUUUGUCUUUUUUUAAGAGGGUGUUGUUUCUGUGUUUCUUUUGCUUCGGAUUGAAAGUGUGGCUCAUGUUUGUUUAUCCCUAUUAAACAUCAGCUUGUUAGAUGGCAGUUUCUCAAGGCAUAGGUUCUUAUUCUGUAUUUAAUGCAGUUACUAUGCCCUUCUCAAGUCUUGUAAGCACCGUUUGAUAAGCAUGUCUUACACAUACUCCCCUAAGUCCUAAUAAAAAGAUUGGCUAGUUAGGAAAACAACGCAACUGAAACUUGGUUUCAAAGCAGUCGAGUCCUGUAAUUACAUGACUUGCUUACUAGAUGGCACUAGUUGACUUAAACGUUUUUUACAGUAUCGUUUAACUGGAGCUGUUUAAGUGGUUUCUGUAGUAUAUAUUUCAUUGCCCUCUCAGCUGAUUUCGUUUUUGAUUGCCACAGAAAGAAAUUUGCUGCUGGUACUACUAAUUUGUAUUUCCUCCUAGACUAAAUACCAGGUCACAUAUUCUAGUCUGAUUAUUCUUAUAAAAUGAGCUCAGAAAAGUUGCCUGCAAUUCCUUCUCUGAGGAUUAUUGUUCUCUUAACUAAAUGUACGUAAUUUAAGUAGAGCUUUGUAUGGCACACACAAGUAAAAUAAGUUAUUUAUAAUUCCAAAUAUUUUAUUUGCAUUAUUUUUUUCCAUAUCUUUUCUUAAUGCACAAAGCUUUUCUCCCAGCUUUUCAAGUUCCUAACCAGUGGUUAUUCUGCCUCUUUUUAAAAUAUAUGUUUGGUUUAUAGUAAUUUUCCUAAGCAUCCUUAUAUGGCGAUCAUUUAUUCAGUGGCUUAAAGUAUUCAAAAUAGAAUCAAGAAUCCCUGAAGAGAGAUUUGUGAACAGGGGAAAGUCUACCCCAUAAUCAUUGUGCAAUUCCUCAGCCGUGACUUGGACCUUAAAUAUUCUUGUUUUAGACAUAGAUUCAGCAGCUUAGUUUUUAGGAAUUUAAGCCCACAAAUGGUUAGAAGAACAGAUAUGAAAUAGAUGUGGGAUAGAAUUACAUUUUUAAAAACUAUAGGAAACAGGCAUUGACCACACACACAUACAAAAUUCAUUCUGGAGCCGUUUCUUACUAAUGACCCUGAAUGUUCCUUUGUCUAAUCCUCAGCCGGUUGCAGUUGUGGCACACCAGCAUUUCAAAUGCAUGUGCGUGGUUUGGUUGUUUCCUUAACAAAGGAACAUGCCAUUUACUGCUUCCUUUUUUCUGUGGCCCCCUGGGCAGGUCUAAGAGACUAAUAGGGAGAGAAGAUAACCUCUGAAUAUGUGGGUAGAAGACCAGGCCUCCAAAAGAGACCCCUUAACUUAUAGAUCAUUUGUGUUUUAGACCAGGCAGUUUGCUGAGAUCUUUGUGAAAAUUAAAUAAGAAUGAAAGACAGGGCUGACUUGAAAGUAUUGAAAAGAGAUGGAGUAUAUAUAACAAAACUUUGAGGGCAGCCUGUCUCAGAAAUCACAAAGCUUCUGCUGCAUGUUUGUUCCCAGACGGCUGAGAAGGUGACUCAGGACUAGAGCUGCCUACCAGCGCAGGUGUUUAAUGCCAGCAAAUCUGGUUUGGAGGUGGAUGUCUUCUAGAAUAGGGGAACAGCAAACGUUUUGUAAAGGGUCAGAGAGUAAACGUUGUAGGCUUUGCAGCCCACUUAUGGUGGUCUCUGUUGCAACCUUCUUUUUGAUUUUUUCCUGUUUUUUUUUUAAAUAGCCCUUUAAAAGUAUAAAAACUGUUCUUAUCUCACAGGCUGUUGAAAAACAGGCAGUAGACUGGAUUUGCCUCAUGGGCCGUAGUUUACCAACCGUUGUUCUAGAAGAUUGCAGUCUUAAUCGUAAUUUAUGCUAACCACAGGAAUUUCCAGAAACUAUGUGUCUCCCUGAUUAUCAAGAGGAGAUACUCUUAAUUUAAAAGGAAACAGGCUCAUGUGGAACUGUUUAUCGCUAGUGAUGAGACAGACUUAGCCUUCAUUGUGGAUUGCACCUCAACAUAGAAAUCCUCACAACUGGACCAGUAAGC